GGUUAAGCGACUAAGCGUACACGGUGGAUGCCCUGGCAGUCAGAGGCGAUGAAGGACGUGCUAAUCUGCGAUAAGCGUCGGUAAGGUGAUAUGAACCGUUAUAACCGGCGAUUUCCGAAUGGGGAAACCCAGUGUGAUUCGUCACACUAUCAUUAACUGAAUCCAUAGGUUAAUGAGGCGAACCGGGGAACUGAAACAUCUAAGUACCCCGAGGAAAAGAAAUCAACCGAGAUUCCCCCAGUAGCGGCGAGCGAACGGGGAGCAGCCCAGAGCCUGAAUCAGUGUGUGUGUUAGUGGAAGCGUCUGGAAAGGCGCGCGAUACAGGGUGACAGCCCCGUACACAAAAAUGCACAUGCUGUGAGCUCGAUGAGUAGGGCGGGACACGUGGUAUCCUGUCUGAAUAUGGGGGGACCAUCCUCCAAGGCUAAAUACUCCUGACUGACCGAUAGUGAACCAGUACCGUGAGGGAAAGGCGAAAAGAACCCCGGCGAGGGGAGUGAAAAAGAACCUGAAACCGUGUACGUACAAGCAGUGGGAGCACGCUUAGGCGUGUGACUGCGUACCUUUUGUAUAAUGGGUCAGCGACUUAUAUUCUGUAGCAAGGUUAACCGAAUAGGGGAGCCGAAGGGAAACCGAGUCUUAACUGGGCGUUAAGUUGCAGGGUAUAGACCCGAAACCCGGUGAUCUAGCCAUGGGCAGGUUGAAGGUUGGGUAACACUAACUGGAGGACCGAACCGACUAAUGUUGAAAAAUUAGCGGAUGACUUGUGGCUGGGGGUGAAAGGCCAAUCAAACCGGGAGAUAGCUGGUUCUCCCCGAAAGCUAUUUAGGUAGCGCCUCGUGAACUCAUCUCCGGGGGUAGAGCACUGUUUCGGCAAGGGGGUCAUCCCGACUUACCAACCCGAUGCAAACUGCGAAUACCGGAGAAUGUUAUCACGGGAGACACACGGCGGGUGCUAACGUCCGUCGUGAAGAGGGAAACAACCCAGACCGCCAGCUAAGGUCCCAAAGUCAUGGUUAAGUGGGAAACGAUGUGGGAAGGCCCAGACAGCCAGGAUGUUGGCUUAGAAGCAGCCAUCAUUUAAAGAAAGCGUAAUAGCUCACUGGUCGAGUCGGCCUGCGCGGAAGAUGUAACGGGGCUAAACCAUGCACCGAAGCUGCGGCAGCGACGCUUAUGCGUUGUUGGGUAGGGGAGCGUUCUGUAAGCCUGUGAAGGUGUGCUGUGAGGCAUGCUGGAGGUAUCAGAAGUGCGAAUGCUGACAUAAGUAACGAUAAAGCGGGUGAAAAGCCCGCUCGCCGGAAGACCAAGGGUUCCUGUCCAACGUUAAUCGGGGCAGGGUGAGUCGACCCCUAAGGCGAGGCCGAAAGGCGUAGUCGAUGGGAAACAGGUUAAUAUUCCUGUACUUGGUGUUACUGCGAAGGGGGACGGAGAAGGCUAUGUUGGUCGGGCGACGGUUGUCCCGGUUUAAGCGUGUAGGCUGGUUUUCCAGGCAAAUCCGGAAAAUCAAGGCUGAGGCGUGAUGACGAGGCACUACGGUGCUGAAGCAACAAAUGCCCUGCUUCCAGGAAAAGCCUCUAAGCAUCAGGUAACAUCAAAUCGUACCCCAAACCGACACAGGUGGUCAGGUAGAGAAUACCAAGGCGCUUGAGAGAACUCGGGUGAAGGAACUAGGCAAAAUGGUGCCGUAACUUCGGGAGAAGGCACGCUGAUAUGUAGGUGAAGUCCCUCGCGGAUGGAGCUGAAAUCAGUCGAAGAUACCAGCUGGCUGCAACUGUUUAUUAAAAACACAGCACUGUGCAAACACGAAAGUGGACGUAUACGGUGUGACGCCUGCCCGGUGCCGGAAGGUUAAUUGAUGGGGUCAGCGCAAGCGAAGCUCUUGAUCGAAGCCCCGGUAAACGGCGACUGUAACUAUAACGGUCCUAAGGUAGCGAAAUUCCUUGUCGGGUAAGUUCCGACCUGCACGAAUGGCGUAAUGAUGGCCAGGCUGUCUCCACCCGAGACUCAGUGAAAUUGAACUCGCUGUGAAGAUGCAGUGUACCCGCGGCAAGACGGAAAGACCCCGUGAACCUUUACUAUAGCUUGACACUGAACAUUGAGCCUUGAUGUGUAGGAUAGGUGGGAGGCUUAGAAGUGUGGACGCCAGUCUGCAUGGAGCCGACCUUGAAAUACCACCCUUUAAUGUUUGAUGUUCUAACGUUGACCCGUAAUCCGGGUUGCGGACAGUGUCUGGUGGGUAGUUUGACUGGGGCGGUCUCCUCCUAAAGAGUAACGGAGGAGCACGAAGGUUGGCUAAUCCUGGUCGGACAUCAGGAGGUUAGUGCAAUGGCAUAAGCCAGCUUGACUGCGAGCGUGACGGCGCGAGCAGGUGCGAAAGCAGGUCAUAGUGAUCCGGUGGUUCUGAAUGGAAGGGCCAUCGCUCAACGGAUAAAAGGUACUCCGGGGAUAACAGGCUGAUACCGCCCAAGAGUUCAUAUCGACGGCGGUGUUUGGCACCUCGAUGUCGGCUCAUCACAUCCUGGGGCUGAAGUAGGUCCCAAGGGUAUGGCUGUUCGCCAUUUAAAGUGGUACGCGAGCUGGGUUUAGAACGUCGUGAGACAGUUCGGUCCCUAUCUGCCGUGGGCGCUGGAGAACUGAGGGGGCUGCUCCUAGUACGAGAGGACCGGAGUGGACGCAUCACUGGUGUUCGGGUUGUCAUGCCAAUGGCACUGCCCGGUAGCUAAAUGCGGAAGAGAUAAGUGCUGAAAGCAUCUAAGCACGAAACUUGCCCCGAGAUGAGUUCUCCCUGACUCCUUGAGAGUCCUGAAGGAACGUUGAAGACGACGACGUUGAUAGGCCGGGUGUGUAAGCGCAGCGAUGCGUUGAGCUAACCGGUACUAAUGAACCGUGAGGCUUAACCUU
rnacentral:rRNA from 1 species